rnacentral:tRNA from 1 species
GGGUGAUUAGCUCAGCUGGGAGAGCACCUCACUUUUAAUCAAUUGGUCGCAGGUUCGAAUCCUGCACGACCCACCA